AUUGAACGCUGGCGGCAGGCCUAACACAUGCAAGUCGAGCGGAUGAAGGGAGCUUGCUUCUGGAUUCAGCGGCGGACGGGUGAGUAAUGCCUAGGAAUCUGCCUGGUAGUGGGGGAUAACGUCCGGAAACGGGCGCUAAUACCGCAUACGUCCUGAGGGAGAAAGUUGGGGAUCUUCGGACCUCACGCUAUCAGAUGAGCCUAGGUCGGAUUAGCUAGUUGGUGGGGUAAAGGCCUACCAAGGCGACGAUCCGUAACUGGUCUGAGAGGAUGAUCAGUCACACUGGAGCUGAGACACGGUCCAGACUCCUACGGGAGGCAGCAGUGGGGAAUAUUGGGCAGUGGGCGAAAGCCUGAUCCAGCCGUGCCGCGUGUGUGAAGAAGGUCUUCGGAUUGUAAAGCACUUUAAGUUGGGAGGAAGGGCAGUAAGUUAAUACCUUGCUGUUUUGACGUUACCAACAGAAUAAGCACCGGCUAACUUCGUG
rnacentral:rRNA from 1 species